rnacentral:rRNA from 1 species
UACGAAGGGGCUAGCGUUGCUCGGAAUCACUGGGCGUAAAGGGUGCGUAGGCGGGUUCUUAAGUCAGGGGUGAAAUCCUGGAGCUCAACUCCAGAACUGCCUUUGAUACUGAGGAUCUUGAGUUCGGGAGAGGUGAGUGGAACUGCGAGUGUAGAGGUGAAAUUCGUAGAUAUUCGCAAGAACACCAGUGGCGAAGGCGGCUCACUGGCCCGAUACUGACGCUGAGCACGAAAGCGUGGGGAGCAAACAGGA